UACGGAGGGAGCUAGCGUUGUUCGGAAUUACUGGGCGUAAAGCGCACGUAGGCGGCUUUGUAAGUUAGAGGUGAAAGCCCGGGGCUCAACCCGGAAUUGCCUUUAAGACUGCAUCGCUUGAAUCCGGGAGAGGUGAGUGGAAUUCCGAGUGUAGAGGUGAAAUUCGCAGAUAUUCGGAAGAACACCAGUGGCGAAGGCGGCUCACUGGACCGGUAUUGACGCUGAGGUGCGAAAGCGUGGGGAGCAAACAGG
rnacentral:rRNA from 1 species